AUUCUGAACUCCGCAUCUUGAAAAGUGCUGUUCCAUGGGAUAUGCUCUGUGGAAUUCCAGGACAGUUGCGCCCCUCACUUUAAAAGGAGGGAAUCAAAGGCUCAGAGAGUUUGAGUCACUCGCUUGAGGUGCCUCAGUUUAUCUUUCAACGGUUCUGGUGACAGAAGAAAGAACCAAUGGACACCGGGGCCCCACGCCCCCCGGAGCAAGGAGCGACAAGGCGCAGGUACCUGUGGGGCUCCUGGAGCCGCUGCGUCCUCGCUGUCUCGGGAGGCGGAGGUUUCUGGUGCCCCAGUGAGAACUACUGGGACAUCAACUCGCUCAGGAGCCUGCGGAUGGGAUCCUGGGAGAACUGGCUGAAGCCAGC